rfam:Ipomoea nil DNA, scaffold: scaffold0114, cultivar: Tokyo-kokei standard.
GAUUCCAUGGCCCAAUGGAUAAGAUGCUGGUCUACGAAACCAGUGACUCUGGGUUCAAUCCACAAUGGAUUUG